UACGUAGGGUGCAAGCGUUGUCCGGAAUUAUUGGGCGUAAAGAGCUCGUAGGCGGUCUGUCGCGUCUGCUGUGAAAACUCGGGGCUUAACCCCGGGCCUGCAGUGGGUACGGGCAGACUAGAGUACAGAAGGGGCAACUGGAAUUCUCGGUGUAGCGGUGAAAUGCGUAGAUAUCGAGAGGAACACCUGCGGCGAAGGCGGGUUGCUGGGCUGAUACUGACGCUGAGGCGCGAAAGCCAGGGGAGCGAACGGG
rnacentral:rRNA from 1 species